UUGGAGGGCAAGUCUGGUGCCAGCAGCCGCGGUAAUUCCAGCUCCAAUAGCGUAUAUUAAAGUUGUUGUGGUUAAAAAAGCUCGUAGUUGAACCUUGGGCCUGGCCGUCCGGUCCGCCUCACCGCGUGUACUGGCUCGGCCGGGCCUUUCCCUCUGUGGAACCCCAUGCCCUUCACUGGGCGUGGCGGGGAAACNGGACUUUUACNGUAGAAAAAAUUAGAGUGCUCCAGGCAGGCCUAUGCUCGAAUACAUUAGCAUGGAAUAAUAGAAUAGGACGUUGG
rnacentral:rRNA from 1 species